rnacentral:rRNA from 1 species
UAAGUAUACCGGAAGGUGUUCUUGGAAACGAAAUGUAGCUUAAUUAAAGCAUCUCGCUUACACCGAGAAAAUGUUUACUAAAAUAAACCAUCUCGAGCCAAAAAUCUAGCCAAAUUCUUCCCAUGAACUAAACAAAACUUUAACCAUAAAAUAAACCAUUUUUGCAUUAUCAGUAAAGGAGAUUGAAAAUUUAUUUAGAGCAAUAUAAAAGUACCGUAAGGGAAUAAUGAAAUAAUAAUGAAAAAAAUUUAAGCCCAAAAAAGUAAAGAUUCACACUUGUACCUUUUGUAUCAUGGUUUAACUAGUUUAAUCAAGCAAAAUGAAUUAAAGUUUGACUUCCCGAAACUAAGCGAGCUACUUCGGGGCAGCUAAACGAGCAAACCCAUCUCUGUUGCAAAAUAGUGGGAAGACCCCCAAGUAGAGGUGACAUACCUAACGAGCCUAGUGAUAGCUGGUUGCUCAAGAAAAGGAUUUUAGUCCAACCUAAAACACACACACGCACGUUACCAAGAAAUUAAACCUGUUUUAGAGCCAUUCAAAUAAGGUACAGCCUAUUUGAAAAAGGAAACAACCUACACUAAUGGAUAAAGUCAACCAAAUUACAACUAAGUAGGCCUAAAAGCAGCCACCUUAAAUAAUAGCGUCAAAGCUUAACUGUAUAAAGUUAUAAUCCCAAGACCAUAUCUCAUUCCUUACUUAGUACUGAGCAAUUCUAUAUCCCUAUAGAAAAUUUUAUGUUAAAACUAGUAACAAGAAGUCAAACUUCUCUUAUAUGUAAGUGUAUAUCAAAACGGAUAAACCAUUGACAUUUAACGCCCAUGAAACAAAAGUAGCACCUGCACAAGAAAACUCUACUUUAUUUACCGUUAAUCUAACACAAGUACAUCCCAAGAAAGAUUAAAAGAAAAAGAAGGAACUCGGCAAACUUUAACCUCGCCUGUUUACCAAAAACAUCGCCUCUUGAACCCUAUAAGAGGUCCCGCCUGCCCAGUGAUUAAAUUUAACGGCCGCGGUAUCCUAACCGUGCGAAGGUAGCGUAAUCACUUGUUCUUUAAAUGAGGACUAGUAUGAACGGCAUCACGAAGGUUACACUGUCUCCUUUUUCUAAUCAGUGAAACUAAUCUCCCCGUGAAGAAGCGGGGAUAGUCUAAUAAGACGAGAAGACCCUAUGGAACUUUAAACAAAGUAACAAGUACUAUUAUUUAUUUAUAAAUUUCCGAAUCAAACAUAAUCUAGUAUGAUGAUUACUAGUUUUAGGUUGGGGUGACCGCGGAGAAAAACAUAACCUCCACAUUGAAAGAAAAACUCUAAGCCAAAAGCUACAACUUAAAGCAUCAAUAUACUGACAUUAAUUGACCCAAUUGUAUUGAGCAACGAACCAAGCUACCCUAGGGAUAACAGCGCAAUCCACUUUAAGAGCCCCUAUCGACAAGUGGGUUUACGACCUCGAUGUUGGAUCAGGGUCUCCCAGUGGUGCAGCCGCUACUAAAGGUUCGUUUGUUCAACGAUUAAUACCCU